GUCCUCUAUGAAGGACAUCCGAUAAAAUUGGAUGAUUAAAAAAAAUUAGCAUGGCCGCUCCACAAGAAUGACACGUAUAAAACGAAAAAUUGUCCAAAUUUUU